rnacentral:misc_RNA from 1 species
AAGAAUCCUAUGGAUUUGGGUACCGUCAAGUCUAAAUUGGGGAAAUUUUUGUACGAUUCGCCCAUGGAUUUUGCUGCUGAUGUGAGAUUGACCUUCAACAAUGCCAUGAAGUACAACCCUAAAGGUCACGAAGUGCAUAAUCUUGCCGAGCAGUUUCUUUCCAGAUUUGAGGAAUGGUACCGACCCAUUAGAGAAUAAAGUGGGAGAUGAUGAUCAAGAUCAGGUGCAUGAAUAUGAGCCUGGGCAAAUUCAAGAAGUGCAAGCUAGUUCAUGGGAUCACAUACCCAAUCGUGGUGACAUUGACAGGGUAAAAAAAGAUCAGGAAAAUAUAAUGCAAAAUUUACCUAAAUCUGAUCCAAUUGGGAAAUCAAUGCCAACAAGUGGGUCUAACGCUCAAUCUACAUCGCAAUUGCCUGUACGAACUCCUUCCCCAAUGCGAGCUCCUCCAGUGAAGCCUGUUAAACUACCAAAACCCAAAGCCAAAGAUCCUAACAAGAGAGAGAUGUCUCUUGAGGAGAAGCACAAAUU